rnacentral:ncRNA from 1 species
CCGCAUCUAAACAAUAUCGGUUUUACGUAAAGUAAAUUAAUAGGGAAUCGUGUGCAAAUCACGAGCUGUCGCGCAACUGUAAGUAAUGCGAACGUUUUGUUAAAUAAAUCCACUGUUUCUUCAACGAAAUGGGAAGGAAAAUAAAACGGUUACAAGCCAGGAGACCUGCCUUUAUUGCAAUGUCAAU